ensembl:snRNA U6 U6 spliceosomal RNA
GAGCUCGCUUCGGCAGCACAUAUACUAACAUUGGAACAAUACAGAGAAGCUUAGCAUGGCCUCCACCCGAGGCUAAUGGGCAAAUUCGUUAAGCAUUCGUAUGUUUA